UGGCUCAAUGGUAGAGCGUUGGACUGAAAUACCAAAAGUCGCGGGUUCGAAUCCCAG
rnacentral:tRNA from 1 species